rnacentral:rRNA from 1 species
GACGAACGCUGGCGGCGUGCUUAACACAUGCAAGUCGAACGGAAAGGCCCUGCUUUUGUGGGGUGCUCGAUUGGCGAACGGGUGAGUAACACGUGAGUAACCUGCCCUUGACUUUGGGAUAACUUCAGGAAACUGGGGCUAAUACCGGAUAGGAGCUCCUGCUGCAUGGUGGGGGUUGGAAAGUUUCGGCGGUUGGGGAUGGACUCGCGGCUUAUCAGCUUGUUGGUGGGGUAGUGGCUUACCAAGGCUUUGACGGGUAGCCGGCCUGAGAGGGUGACCGGGCACAUUGGGACUGAGAUACGGCCCAGACGCCUACGGGAGGCAGCAGUGGGGAAUAUUGCACAAUGGGCGGAAGCCUGAUGCAGAAACGUCGCGUGCGGGAUGACGGCCUUCGGGUUGUAAACCGCUUUCGCCUGUGACGAAGCGUGAGUGACGGUAAUGGGUAAAGAAGCACCGGCUAACUACGUG